ACGGGAGGCAGCAGUGGGGAAUAUUGGGCAAUGGGCGAAAGCCUGACCCAGCAAUGCCGCGUGAAGGAAGAAGGUCUUCGGAUUGUAAACUUCUUUUAUGAGGGACGAAGGAAUUGACGGUACCUCAUGAAUAAGCCACGGCUAACUACGUGCCAGCAGCCGCGGUAAUACGUAGGUGGCAAGCGUUAUCCGGAUUUACUGGGUGCAAAGGGCGCGUAGGCGGGGAAGCAAGUCAGAUGUGAAAUCUAUGGGCUUAACUCACAAACUGCAUUUGAAACUGUUUCUCUUGAGUGCUGGAGAGGUAGAUGGAAUUCCUAGUGUAGCGGUGAAAUGCGUAGAUAUUAGGAAGAACACCAGUGGCGAAGGCGAUCUACUGGACAGUAACUGACGCUGAGGCGCGAAAGCGUGGGGAGCAAACAGGAUUAGAUACCCUGGUA
rnacentral:rRNA from 1 species